rnacentral:rRNA from 1 species
UACGAAGGGGGCUAGCGUUGUUCGGAAUUACUGGGCGUAAAGGGCGCGUAGGCGGUGUGUCAAGUCAGGCGUGAAAGCCCCGGGCUCAACCUGGGAACAGCGCUUGAGACUGGCACGCUCGAGUUCGGGAGAGGAUGGUGGAAUUCCCAGUGUAGAGGUGAAAUUCGUAGAUAUUGGGAAGAACACCGAUGGCGAAGGCAGCCAUCUGGACCGACACUGACGCUGAGGCGCGAAAGCAUGGGGAGCAAACAGG